UACUAAGCGCCCAAGCUGUCUUUGGAUCAUCAUAUCUCAACACACAAGGAAUUGUUUUUUUAAUAGAAAAAGUAGAAGUGAGAUAUAUGUAUAAUAGGCUGUAUAUAUUUCUAAUUUUCAAAAAAUCAUUCCUGGAUCAUUGAUAACCCGUGUAAAUUGAAACGUGAAAGACCAUGGGUCUGCAGGGCAGGUCGGCAUGGCACCAAGUCGGACGUGGGAUCAAACUUGCUCUCAUCAUGGUUAGAAUCGCAAUCCUUAUGAAUUCAACCCAACUCAUGCUCAACACCUUCUUGUAACUAAUGCUUAUUAGCAACACUCCUC
rnacentral:sRNA from 2 species